GCAGCCAAGCCAGCACUGCCAGAGUGUAAAUAAACAUGGCGACUGAGGCGGUAUGGUUUAGCGUAGUGUAUGCUAUGAUAUGUGUUUAUAUCCUUACGCCACCUACAGAAUUUGUGACAGCUGGUUUGACUCUUACACAUCUCUUCGGAAGGUUCAUCGACAAAGAGGAUGUGAAGUUCGUUGAGCACCACAUUCAGAGGACACUGUUGACUGUUAUCGUUCAUACUUUUCUGCCGCUAGGUUACUUCUUUGGUUUCAUGAACCUGAUUGAAGAUGACAGCUUGGUGGAGCUAUGGCAGUCCAAGCUGCUGUGGCAGGCAGGCCUGGCCGUAUCUUGCCUGGUGUUCACAGCAGGUAUUGUGGUAGCCUUCACAUGGUCCAUGGCAGACUGGGCCCGACAUCCUGUGACCCAGCGGCUCUUGCAGUACGGUAGCCCUUGGCACAUCAUUGCCAUGCGCAUCAAUGCAGAAUUCUCCCAGGUUGACAAGUUCAUCAGUGGUGCAGGGUCUCUCACGCGCACUGUAGUGACCAAUUCAUGGAUCAUCAAAGCUACACCCUACAACUUGCAUCUGAUCCAACAGACAGAUGCGGUACUGGAACUGGUGAGCAGUGCUGAGCACUCCGUGUCACAUGUCAGUGGCAUGGGUAUUCAGUACCUGGACAUACUGGUCAAGAGCCGCAGGCCUGGAAUACCAUCAUUUACCAUAAGGGUGAAUUCAAUGGAGUACAAUGACCUGAAGGAAAAGCUGCAGGCUCCAUUGGACAAUGUGCGCAAUAUUGUAAUACACCGUAGUCUUAGCGACAGGUUUACUGAUGCCUUCAGAAGCCAUGUUGAACAGAAUUCCAGGUACAGGCUGCCAGCAGGCAUGCUGGAGAAGAGACAAGUGGUAAUUUUGCAUGGCGCAGGAACUGGAGCCAUGCAUUGGCUGCAUGCAGACAACGGCCAACGUAAAGCUGCAGAAACUCUGUGAUGAAGCACUAGUAGGCCAGUGCCAGGGCUGCUUGUGUCGACCAAUGUGGUGCCUGGAUUGCAUGGGUCGUUGGUUUGCCAGCCGGCAGGACCAGGCACGCCCUGAGACAUGGCUAGGAAGUCGCUGCUUUUGCCCAACGUGCAGGUCCGUGUUCUGCAUGCUCGACGUGUGCAUCGUUGAAGCCUAGUUUACCUACCAUCGACACGUUCUCCUGGAAGUUUGAUCUUGACUGCUCUCACUGGGCGUGAGCACUUGGUGACCACAUUUUGACAUACCACCUAUUAUGCAAACAAUGAAGAUAAAUCUAAAGUUUAGGCUUUCUUGUAGGUCAUCUAGAAGGAAAUGCACUGAAAGUUCUCACACUGAACGAAGCAUCUCCCUGUUUUUAGU
rnacentral:misc_RNA from 1 species